UAUUGGUGGUGUGGUUAUACCUGAGAAGAGACUUGAAUCUCUCCCAUGCAUAAUAGAGAUUCUCGUCUGGCUUUUGCUUAAAACUUAGGAUCUCACUCCUCAACCC
rfam:Capsicum annuum cultivar Zunla-1 chromosome 11, whole genome shotgun sequence